rnacentral:rRNA from 1 species
UACGGAGAGUGCAAGCGUUGUUCGGAAUCAUUGGGCGUAAAGGGCGUCUAGGUGGCCCAGCAAGUCAGAUGUGAAAUCCCUCGGCUCAACCGAGGACGUGCAUUUGAAACUGCAGGGCUUGAGUGUAGGAGGGGGCAGCGGAAUUCCCGGUGUAGAGGUGAAAUUCGUAGAUAUCGGGAGGAACACCAGUGGCGAAGGCGGCUGCCUGGCCGAACACUGACACUGAAGCGCGAAAGCGUGGGGAGCAAACAGG